rnacentral:rRNA from 1 species
GACGAACCGUCCAAACGUUAUUCGGAAUCACUGGGCUUACAGAGUUCGUAGGCGGUCUGGAAAGUUGGGUGUGAAAUCCCUCGGCCUAACCGAGGAACUGCGCUUGAAACUACCAGACUCGAGGGGGAUAGAGGAAAGCGGAACUGAUGGUGGAGCGGUGAAAUGCGUUGAUAUCAUCAGGAACACCGGUGGCGAAGGCGGGUCUCUGGGCCGAUACUGACGCUGAGGAGCGAAAGCGUGGGGAGCGAACAGG